CUUUCGGCCAGCGGGACGGCAUCCGAGGUGGGCUAGGCUCGGGCCCGUGGCGGGUGCGGGGGUGGGAGG
ensembl:miRNA